GUAAAAGAUGGCAGAGGAGGGAUUCCUCAUGCUGACCUGCAGGAGACCCCUGAGGGACAGCCGUCCCGUGAUGUGUGAUGGGGUAUGUGUUGUAACAUACCAUAAAAGUUUUCAGUGAUGAUUAUUAAGGAGGAACGCAUCCCUUCUGUGCCUGGGAAUGACUUCUCAGCUUCAUGUGGCCCAUACCAAAUGUGGGCAGCUGACACAUCUUCCUCGGCAGCCAAAUGCAGACACCACACCUUUAAGUGCAGCCUGGUUCAGCAAAUGUCUGAACAUGAGGUCUGGACCAAGCCAACUUGCAGAGCAGCAAGGCUCAAACUCUGUGUGCGUGAGUCCUUGAAGCUGCUUGUUACAAAGUGCAGAGUUGAGCCACACCCCCAGGAGAUUCUGUGCUGCCCAUCUGUGCGUGGGGCCUAGGUGUCUACUUCCAAUACAUGUGACGUGGGAGUGUUGAGUUUUUGUUUGGUUUAUCAGGUAAUUAAUUUGUUUGAACCCAAAUCCAAUGCUUUGACAGCUUUAGAAACACUGUCUCUUGGUGGCAAGUGAAAUCUCAGUUCAAUUAUUUUAUCCUUAGCUAUAGUCUGGCCCAUACAGCCAGCCAGAAAUUUGGGCAGAGGUUAUGUCCAGACUUUGAGGAUCCCUUCUUGACUCUCCCUCUUGACUCCCCAGGGCUCCCCUCCGUCAUUUUGCAGCGGUUGUACUUACCUUGAACUCUAUCCUCUGGGUCUUGAAGCCAGAAAGACUGCUGGUCGUCUACCAGAGUUCUGGGCCAGAGUUGUGGCGUUCCCUCAGGCUAUAAGAGCUGUGAAAAUGCUCUUCUCUGCUCCAAGUAUCAGAUAAGCACUAGAUAAAAACAGGAUUUCAAAGUUCAAAGCCACUAGAAGAGGAAAGAAAGGAACAAGAAAAAGAAUCGACAGCAAGAAAAAGGUAAGCAAAAAGUAAAUAUAAAAAAUCAUAGAUAUAAAACAAAAUAGACUACAAAAUAAAUUAGUCAAAACAUAGCAAUUACAACAACAAAUAUGAAUGGGUUAGAUCCUGUGAUAGGCAGACCCCAAGCCUGCCUUCUCCUAAACCUUGGAACCUGUGCAUAUGUUAUGGGACAUGGCAGAGGGAGAUUAAGGUGGCAAAUGGAGUUAAGAUUACUAAUCAACUGACCUCAAAAUAGGAAAAUCACCCUAGACUCUUUGGAUAGGCCUCAUGUAAUCAGAAGAGCCUUUAAAUGUGGAAGGAGGAGGCAGAAGAGUCAGAGAGGUGCAGUGAGAAAAAGACCAGCCAGCCACUGCUGGCUUUGAAGGUGGAAGGGGACUACUUGUUGGUGGGAGGAGGCUCUAGAAUCUGGAAGGGGAAGGAAACGUUUCUCCCCUACAGCAGCCAGAAAAGAACACAGCCCUGCUGACACCUUGAUUUUAGCCCAGUGAGACCCAUUUUGGACUUUAGACCUCCAGAACCAUAAGAUAAUAAAGUUGUAUCAUUUAAAGCCACUGACUUUGUGGUGAUUUGUUACAGAAGCACUAGGAAAUCGUUACCAUCUCAGUUAAAAAGACAGGCUCUCAAAUAAUACAAAAAUCAAAAGAAUAAAACGAUGAGGUUUAGAUUCAGCUAUCCACUACUUAGGGGAGGAAAAAACCUUAAUGAAUUGUGAAGGUUUAUCCAUUCAAACCACGUGUUAUUUAUUUAUUAUGCACAGGGCCGUGAGCUAACAAAAAGUGAACAGAACAAACUCCUUGUCCUCAUGUAACUUAAAGCUGGGAUGGGGUUGAGGGGAGGGGAAGCUUAAAAAGCAUUUAUUUGUAUGUAAGCAAAAUAAUUACAAUUUUCAGUAAAUACUCUGAAGGCAUAAAGAAGGUGCUGAGAUGGAGACUGUGGCAGUUUGUUGGGGAAACCUUGAGGAGUGAAAUUUAAGCUGAGAUGAGGAAGAAAAGACCUUAGUAUUCAGUAAAGGGUGAGGUGACCAUGGAAAGCACUGCUCAGAUCUUUGCUGUGGAGAAAAAUUGACAGACCCCAGAAGCUGCCCCUGUAGAUCCAUUUCUGCAUUCCCCGCAAGGCCACACUUAUCCUAGACAGCUCCCAGCUGAUGACUAAGCACAGCGGGGGUACCAGAGCCAGGCCAUUGCUGCCUGAUACAGGACUCCUCUAAAGGGACAAAUUGGUUCAAGUACUCCCUUUUUUUUGACCAGGCGGAAAGUGUCCUGGAACUGCACUGCUGUCUUGAUCCUCCUUGCCCAAACUUUCCUCCUCCUGCUUUCUUUUACACGUGUCAGCUCACACUUCCUACUCCAGCUCUCUCCUUUUUAUAGGUAUUUUCCCCGGCAAAUGUCUUGCACAUCUAUUACUGCGUAAAAACUCACCACAUCUUAAAACAACACACAUUUACUAUCUCACAGUUGUAUCAAGUCAUGGCAUAACUGGCUCUCCUGCUUCAGGAUCUCUCACAAGGCUGCAAUCUGGGUGGUAGCCGGGGCUGGAGUCUCACCUGAAAACUUACCUGAGGAUCUGCUUUCAAGGUUCACGUGGUUGUUGGUGGGAUUCAGUUCCAUACAGCCUGAUUUAGGACCUCUGUAACUAACUGGCGGUCCUCACCACGUGAACCUCCCCAAUGUGGUCAUUUCCUUCAUCAAAGCAUGUAGGCUGAGAAGGCAGUAGUCUUCCAGCGAGACGUCCAUUAUAUUGACAUAAUGUAAUCACAGAAGUGACAUCUCAUCAACUUUGCUGGAUUCUGUUGAGUGGAAGUCAUGGGUCCCUUCCACACUCAAGGGGAGAGGAUCACACGAGGUGUCAACACCUGGAGGCAGAGAUUGCUGGGACUGUCUUACAGCCUACCUGCUUCCACAUGCAUUCAUAAUAAGGUCUGUCAGAGCUGGCAGACUUGGUGAUGUGCUCGGUUUACAGAAAGCCUCAUCUGUUCUCCCUGUCCUUGACAGAGUAAACGUCUUGCCCAUCAAUGUCAGUACGUGGUUUCAAGUGCAGCCGUAUCAUCACAGUUUGUUGAAUGAAUGUAUCAAUUUGCUGCAAGUGAAGGCAGUUUUGAAAAACAGUCUGGCACCGUUAAUAGGUUGUUCUAAAUUUGCAUUAUAAAACUGAUUGGGCAGUUUUGCAUAUCAAAAGGUCAGGUUUUUGAGCCAUGCGAGAUUUAAAAAAAAAAAAAAAAAGAGCUUCAACAUCCCAGAACAGAAUUUUCCACAGGGCACCUUUGUGUUUGCCUUUUACAUCUGGAAUGUUGUCACUUUUACACCUGCCAUCCACAGUCAUUUACACAUGGACCACGUUUCUCUUGAAGAAACUUGAGCAAAUAUACGACUUCCUUCCACAUGCCCUUUACUCAAGGAGAAAAACAUAUUUGGGGGUACUUUUCCACAACAGUAGUGCCAUAAAUUUUAAAGCACUGCGUGCAAACAAGUGAUGACCAUGAUAUGUUAACCCCCGCAACUAAUGCCUUUCGGUGACACUACUGAGAACUGAUUAACGCUGUUACUGUUUGUUCUUAGCGUAAGAAUCAGGCCAGUGCCCAUCCUGUGAGCCAGGUCUGAGAGUGAGGCAGUCUGGACCCUUGGUCCUGCUCUACCACAGAUGAGCGUAGUGGCUUCGGUAAGUCACCCUUCCCUGUCUGCACCACAGUUUUCUCGCCUGUAGAAAGGGCUUUGGAUGAACAACCUCUCUGACCUAUUCAGGGGUCUAUCACUCCACAGUGAGCUCUCAGGCGUGACCACGGUUAGGUGCUGUGGUACUCCACCCAAAUCCUCUCUGCUGGGCUGGUGCCACCACUCCCAACUGUUGGGAGGGUGGCCACUAGUGGCUCAAAGCUGUCUCCUCCUCUGGAGAACAGCCCUGGGUUAGCAGGGCAUUGCCUCACUCACCUCAGUCUGUGUAAAUGGCAUCCCAUGGGUUGUGCAGUGCACACACUGUACCAUACAUGACAGUCCCAAGGGUAAGAUGAAAACAAAUCCAACCUAGAUGGCCCUACUCUGGGAAUGGCUUAGUGCCAGGGCCCUAGACAGCCCCCUGUUCCUUGGUGGGGUGGAAAUAACAGAUUGAGAAAGGACCUUGGAGAGGACAGUGGGAGGGCCACUUACUUGCCCAACGGUAAUGCACUCCCAAGAAUAUCAGGUUCUCAGCAGUUUUCAGGAUCAUGGCAAUGUCUUAUUUCCCAGAGCGUGAGGAAGGCAGACCCACCCAGUGACCUGGUCUCAUAGAAUUUGGCCUCCUUGCUUUGUGGGGCUUGUCCAGCUCUGGUCCACCGAGGAGUCGGGGUGGGGCUGGUUCAGCAGUACAGAAGGAAAGCCCUCAUGAGGCAGAAACACACAUCUCAGCCUGGAUAAGGCGAGUCAUAGUUCUCACUUUCUUAGAACCCCAUUCUCAGCUCCUUGAGACCACAGGCACCCAGUUGUAUAGUACAGCCAAGGUCACUUUUGGCCACUCUUGGCAGCAGCUGCUCCAGCAGACCCAGCAGGUCAAAGUGCAGAAGAGUAAUUGGAGCAGAUGCUGCUUUGAGUGAGUAUGACCAGGACUGGAUAAGAAAGAAGGAGUCCUACUGUAGAUCACAGGGAACUAUAUUCAGUGGUUUGUAGUAACCCGUAAUGAAGAAGAAUAUGAAAAAGAAUCUGUAUAUUUAUGUAUAACUGAAUCACUCUGCUGUACACCAGAAACUAACACAACAUUGUAAACCAACUAUACUUCAAUUUUAAAAGAUGGGAAAAAUAAAAUUCUACAAAGCAGAAGGAAGGAAGGAAAAAAAAGAAAAGAAAGAAAAAAAGGAAGGAAGGAAAGGAAGGAAGAAAGAAGGAAGGAAGGAAAAAAAGAAGAAAAAAAAGAAAGAUGGGAAACUCAUUUGUCUGACAAGCUGUUAGCAAAGGCCAUCAGUAGGUGUUCUGCUCCAGACAGGGGAGUUUGCCCAGUGAAUGAUGGGAUGAGGGUGCCACAUUCAGGAGUUGGAGGCCAAAGGAGGCAAGUCUGGAGAAAUAGACUUGGAGCCAGAAAGGGAGAUGUCAGAGAGAAAGAGGGAGGUCCUGGUGGUGGGAGAUGUAGAAUACUACUGCUUUGCAAAGGUCUGGUCUGCUUGGCAAGGCCAUGGACAUUUCCUGCUAAAGGAAACAUGCAGGCCUGCUGCUUUAAAAGCCUGUUCUUGGCUUCCGUGGAGCUGGGGAUCCAUGAUGUGACAGGGGCAUUCACACUGCUGCCCGCCCAGACAUUCAACUCAAGCAAACUUCUCAUCUCUUGCUUUGACUCAAGUCCCUGUGAGUGUCCUGCUCAGGACCUGGCUGUGUACUCAGGAGUUAAAUGAGUAGCUCAGGAAAGUUUAUGAAUUGAUGAACACCAGGAAGAGGGUAACCAAAAAUUGUUCUCCAAAAAAGAUCUCCAGAGAGAGAAGCAGGUUCUGAGACCUGUACUGCUGGGCUGCUUCCUGGAGGCAGCAGAAUGCACUGGGUUGAAGUUUUCCAAAACCAGGAAUGUAGCAGAAUGACCUGGGGGUUUUGUUCAGAUUUCUAAGGCCCAGACUGCUGAAUCAGAGUCUCCUGGCACGGAGGCCAAAAAUCUGGUUCUGACAAUGUUCCUGGGUACUGUGGACAUACAGUCUGGUUUGGAAAUCCCGGCCUCGGGGACCUAGGAGAUUUCUGCUGGCCCAAGAGGUGACUCCUCCAAAUUGCUCCUGGCCUUUUUGCCCGACUGCUACAGUCCAGAAGAGGGAGUCCAGGAACUCACAGUUGGGACACAGUUCCUGCCUCCCAGAGCCCCCAGUGCAAUGUUUGAAUGACACCAACCAGAUGCCCCUCCACACCCACGGAUGGAAAGUUAGGGAAACCCAACCCCUUAAUGGAAUAAAUCUGGCAAAGCUGGAAAGUGA